UACGGAGGGUGCAAGCGUUGUUCGGAAUUACUGGGCGUAAAGGGCGCGCAGGCGGCCUGCCAAGUCAGAUGUGAAAUCCCACGGCUUAACUGUGGACGUGCAUUUGAAACUGGCGGGCUUGAGUACCAGAGGGGAAAGUGGAAUUCCCGGUGUAGAGGUGAAAUUCGUAGAUAUCGGGAGGAAUACCGGUGGCGAAGGCGACUUUCUGGCUGGAUACUGACGCUGAGGCGCGAAAGCGUGGGGAGCAAACAGG
rnacentral:rRNA from 1 species